UAAUACGUAGGGGGCGAGCGUUGUCCGGAUUUAUUGGGCGUAAAGAGCUCGUAGGCGGUUUGGUAAGUCGGGUGUGAAAUCUCCAGGCUCAACCUGGAGAGGUCACCCGAGACUGCCAUGACUAGAGUCCGGUAGGGGUGUGUGGAAUUCCUGGUGGAGCGGUGAAAUGCGCAGAUAUCAGGAGGAACACCCGUAGCGAAGGCGGCACACUGGGCCGGUACUGACGCUGAGGAGCGAAAGCGUGGGGAGCAAACAGGAUUAGAUACCCUGGUAGUCCACGCCGUAAACGUUGGGCACUAGGUGUGGGACUCUAUCGACGGGUUCCGUGCCGUAGCUAACGCAUUAAGUGCCCCGCCUGGGGAGUACGGCCGCAAGGCUA
rnacentral:rRNA from 1 species